GGUACCCAGGAGGCGCCAGUGCGGGCGGCUGGUGGAGGCGCUUUAUUUUAAAAAAAACUUUGACAGUCUUCUAUCUCCCCCACCCCCAAGUCCUUGAGGCUUUUACUCCCAGGUUCUACCAUCCCUCUUCCCUAAAAAGUACAAUUUACAGUAGACCUUCUCUCAGCUGGAAAUAGCCCGAGGGUUCUGCAAGCCCUCUGACCCCUGUCCCAUGUCACUGCUGUCGCUGUCCAGAGGAGGUGACAGGAUCUAGGGCUGCAUUUUCAGGGAGGUGAGUGCUGGGGACCUGUGGGGGCGCCCCGGGAGGAGCAGUCCUGGGCACCCACCUUCAGCCCGAUGGUGAUCACACUGUCUUCCCAGCGCUGCUGAUGUCAGGACCCUCAUCUGUUUCGAUGCCAAUGCAGCCCAUCAACCAGACUCUUUCUACCGGUUGAAUUAAGUGGUCCAUUUCAUCUUAACCAUUUCUGCCUUUCCUGGAGUCUUUGCGAAGAGCACAGAUACAUUACAUUUCAAAGCAAAAAGGGAACCGUGACGACCCUCUCUAUUUUAAAAUUUUUAUUGGAGUACAGUUGAUUGAUGGGGCUUCCCAGGUGGCCCAGUGGUAAAGAAUCUGCCUGCCAAUGCAGGAGAGGCAGGGAGGAGACCUGGUUAGAUAGCUGGGGGGCAAGAUCUGGAGAAGGAAAUGGCAACCCACUCCUGGAGGAUCCCAUGGACAGAGGAGCCUGGUGGGCUAAGGUCCAUGAGGUUGCAAGAGUCCGACACUGUUUAGCAAGUGAGCGCGUGCACACACACAUACGCACACAACUGAUUUACAAUGCUGUGUGAGUUUCAAGUGUGCAGCAAAGUGAAUCAGUUAUACACAUGUAUGUAUCCACUCUUUAAGAUUCUUUUCUGUAUAGGCUAUUACCCGGUAUCGAGUAGAGUUCCCUGUGCUAUACAGUAGGUUUCUUUUUUUUUUAAGUCUUUAUUUUCAUUUUCUUCUGUUAUGUGUGUGUGUGUGUGUGUGUGUGUGCGCGCGCACGCGCGCGUGUGCGUGUUAGUUACUUAGUCCUGUAUGCUCUUUGCGACCCCACGGUUUCUCUGUCCAUGGGGAUUCUCCAGGCAAGAAUACUGGAGUGGGUUGCCAUUUCCUUCUCCUACAGUAGGUUAGUGUGUACCUGUCAGUCCCAAUCUCUCAGUUUUAUCCCCCUAACCUCCUCAUCCCCUGGUAACCAUGAGCUUGUUUUCCAGUGAUGGCCCUCUCUAAGGGGAGGUUAAUCAUUCACACUGGGUAAGAACAAUCAUUUACAAGCUCAUCACAGCUUGCCUGUUUUGCUCUUCACUUUGCCCCCAUGAGUUAGGAGAGGCAGAUGCUGCCUCCAUUUUACAGAAGGAGAAGCAGAGGCAUAGAAGAACAACAGACGCCUCUGUGAGCCCACACUCCCUAGAACGGUACCUGUGAUGAUCCAGAGGUGUGUGACCUUGACCUCAGGUAUUAACACCGAGGGACUGAGCCUGACUCUCUAUUGACAGAAGUUCAACUCAGGUCUGAGGAGUUCACUUCUUAGUGCAGUCUCCAUGGAAGAAAUCUGUGCCUCUUGGAGUCCACCAUGCUCUGGAGAAUGCAAGCUCCCUUCAUGGAGAGGCCACACAGAAAGAGCUAACAGAGGGAGGGGCCAGUCCUGGUCCCCACAUCAUCCCAGUUAAGCACCCCACUGUGAGUUAAGGAGACACCUUGGAUGUCCAACCUAGAAAGCUUGAAGGUGACCUCACUCCAGCCACAGACAGACCACAUUCAGCUGAGGAUCCAAGCCAUGAGAUUAUGAGAGAAGGAACUAUGGUCUGGAACCACUAUGCUUUGGAGCAGUUUGUUACACUGAUGACUAAAUUGCCACCAAAAGAGAAACUAGAGAUGCGGGGGGCGGGGUUGGUGGUGAAUCAGGGUUUCUAAGUGUAAUCUUACACAUGCAUUGUAGCUGUAAUCAUUGAUAACAUAUUUUGGCUUUUCCCCCCUGAAAG